AAGGCCGUAGCGCAGAGGUCGUCGCGCCCUAGCUGCGAGCUGGAGGACGUCGGUUCGAAUCCGACCGGCCUUGCCA
rnacentral:tRNA from 1 species